rfam:Hordeum vulgare subsp. vulgare, WGS project CAJW01000000 data, contig: morex_contig_7679
UGAGUACUCCCUCCGUCUCAAAAUUUUUGUCUUAGCUUUGUCUAGAAAUAGAUGUAUCUAAAUACUAAAACUUGACUAGAUAUAUUUGUAUCUAAAUAAAUUUAAGACAAGAAUUUUGGGAAGGAGGAAGUACUAU